GAUGUAGGGCUGGGACCCAGGUCCACGGAGACACCAGCCCAAAGAGCCCAGGGAGGUCGGGCUUGGGUCAGCAGGAGGGGAGAGCAGAGUCUGCAGCAGGAAGCCCGAGGAGUCACCAGCCCAAAGUCACCCAGGGAUGACUGCGUUUCUCACCUCUGGAGGACUCAGCAUUCAAGGUGCCAUCUUGGAAGCAGAGAGCAGCCCUCACUAGACUACAAACCUGCUGGCGCUUUGAUCUUGGACUUCCCACCCACCAGAACUCUCUCCACUCCCUUCCUAGACUUUCUUCAUAGAGCCAGAAGAGGGUACCUGAAUUGGCCUGGACUGCUCAGCCUGUACGGUUCUGGGAGUGGGGUGGGGUGGAUGGAGUGAACUCAGCAGGCACCCCCAGCUCUGCUCUCCUGUGGUGUGACUGGAUCUCCAGGAGGGACUUCGACUUUUCCAGGUCUUAGCACUGAAGAUGCUUUGGUGCUUCUGCACAGGGGAGAAAAUUCAAAAUAAAAACAAAACCAUAAACCAUGCAAUACAACUUUUAUAUGGAUGCUAAAAAUAAAAUGUUGUUUUGUUUUCUUAAAGUU
rnacentral:lncRNA from 1 species